rnacentral:rRNA from 1 species
UGUUACACUUUAUAUAAAUUAUAAUAUUACCUGGGUAUUAAACAGUUAUUGUCUUGAAACUCAAAGGAUUUGGCGGUAACUUAGUCUAUUUAGAGGAACCUGUCCUAUAAUCGAUAGUCCACGAAAAAUCUUACUUUAUCUUGUAGAAGACAGUUUGUAUACCGUCAUUAUUAGAUAACUUUAAUAAAAUAUAAAGUUGUUGAAAUAGUUUAGCUAAUAUAUUAGAUCAAGGUGCAGCUCAUGAUAGAGGAAGAGAUGGGUUACAAUAUAAUAAAUAUAAACGGAGUAAUGAGCGAAUGUUCAUUACUGAAGGUGGAUUUAAAAGUAAGAGGAUUUUAAUAAGAUCUUCUGACUUUAGCUCUAGGUUAU